rnacentral:misc_RNA from 1 species
CGGGGUGUGUCGAUUGCGUGACGAUGUUAUUAAGCAAAAGGGUGAUACCCAUUAUUGACAGUGGUAAGAUGGUGAUUGAAAUAAGCGACUCGGUGGUGGUGGUGGUGAUGGUGUAAUAGUAGUUAACAAUAAGCUGCAAAAUGAAUAAAAGAGAUCGAAUCGUGUAAAGAAGGGCAUUUCAACAUCUGGAUAAUCAACGGAGACUAUAGCACUCUGGAGAUAGAAUCU